UGUAUGUUCCAAUCCUUCAAAUGAUUCAAGAGUUGUUUAAAAACACAGACAUUCUCAGCAAGAUCAGAGAACCAAACACUGACCCUGGACAUUAUGUGUCAUAUCGUGAUGGCUCUAAUUUCUGUGAAAAUGAAUUACUCUCUAUAGAAGAUCUAAGCCUAGCAAUCCAACUAUAUAUUGAUGACCUUGAAAUUGCUAACCCUCUUGGCACAUCACGAAAAGUUUACAAACUCUGCAGCGUAUACUGGGUCCUGGCCAAUCUGCCGCCAAAGUAUAAAUCAGCAAUGCACACUAUACAACUAGCUGUGUUAGCUAAAGUAACAGACCUGAAGAGAUAUGGAUAUGCAGCUGUACUUGCUCCAUUGGUGCGUGAUGUUCACACUCUUGAACAGGAUGGUGUUUUUAUUGAAUCUGUUGGUCAGAAUGUGAAAGGCACGAUCUUUUGUGUUUCUGCUGACAAUCUGGCUGCUCAUGGAUUAGGUGGCUUCUUAGAGUCAUUCAGAGCAGAAUAUGCUUGCAGAUUCUGUAUGGCUACAAGUGAACAGUUUCAAGCAACUGAGGUCAGAGACGAAGAGUUUGUUCAGAGAACCAAAGCCAGUCAUGACGUUCAUGUACAAAAUGCCCUGAAAAAUGGCAGUGAAUUUGGUGUGAAACAUGACUGUGUGUUGCGUGAGGCACUAGAGUAUUUCCAUCCUAUAACAGGUUUUCCUCCAGAUAUACUACAUGAUCUUUUGGAAGGUAUUGUUCCCAUUGAACUUGCUCUUUGCAUUAAAGAGAUGAUUCGGCUGAAGUUCUUCACUUUGGAGUAUUUGAACCAAAAGAUCACAUCAUUCCCAUACCAGCACACUGAUAAAGUAAAUAGGCCAAAGGCCAUUCACAAGACAUUCAUGACUCGGGGAACAAUAGGAGGGAAUGGGCAUGAAAAUGCCACUCUACUCAGACUACUUCCAUUAUUUGUAGGCAAUAAAGUACCAGAGGGCAAUGCUGCAUGGGCAGUUUUGAUGGAAUUAAAAGAGGUAGUGGAAUUAGCAUUGUGUCCAUCAUUUACUGAUGAAACCAUAGACUAUUUUGUGUGGAAAAUCAGUGAUCACAGACAGACACUGCAAGAGGUUUUUCCUGAGCUUAGGCUUCGUCCUAAGCAUCACUACGUAGAGCAUUAUCCCACCCUAGUAAAGUGCUUUGGGCCCCUAGUGCAUGUUUGGACCAUGCGAUUUGAGGCCAAACAUCGCUUUUUCAAGAGAGUGGUGCAUGAUGCUCAAAACUUCAAAAAUAUUUUGAAGACAUUGGCAACCAGACACCAACACAUGAUGGCAUAUCAUCUACAUGCGCCAUCAUUUUUCAGGCCAAAAACACAAACAGCUAGGGUUGAAUCUGUUUUGGUUUCAGCACUACCAGAAGUAGCUCAGGCUCACAUAAGAGGACAAACAACCAGUGACACAGUCUACCAUACAGCAAAUGUGACCAUUGAUGGCACAGACUAUACUAAUGGAAUGUUUGUGUCAGUUGGUGUCAGUGGUGGACUGUCUAAAUUUUGCAAACUAGCGCAGAUCUACCUUGUGAAUAACAAUGUUUCUUUUCUCUGUUGUGAUUUUGACUCCUGGUAUGUAGAACAUCUUCGAUCCUACGAGUUGUCAGCCACACAGACGAGCCUGUCCAUCCACCUGCAAUCUGAGUUCAAUGAUACAGUCCCACUGUCUGCAUACAAGGUAGACGGCGUGCUCCUCUUGACUCCAAAGAGGUUCAUUCAAGUGAAACAGUCUUGAGACCACUCAGUGGUAAGUAACUGAAUCAGAAUUUGCACUGUUUUAAAGAAAUAUGCUUAUAAUCAAUAGGUGCAUCAUGACAUGACACCUGUCAUAAACAUGGAGUCUUUAUGAAUGUUGUUGUAGGUUGCUGUUGUUAGGUUAGUUAUGGAAUGUCUUUGUUCUGACAACUUGAAAUUGACUAAGACAACACAAACAUGCCAAAUCAGGUCUAAUUAUCAUAUGUGAAGAGACUGUUUAUCUCAACAACAAUGGUAUAUUUUGGAAAGCAAAUAAAUAAAUAUAUCAGUACUGGGGUGAUUUAGCAGUGAAUUAUUCAUGUUUAUGACGAGUGUUAUAUCAUGGUUAUGACAGUGCAGUGACAGUUCUUUACACACUCCUUCAAAUAAACUCAAUCUUUUAUUCUAUGAAAUGUCUCUUCAUUCAUUAGCGCAAUGGCAGCGGAAGCCUCACAAAACAUGAUCCUUCGCGUCAUUGAGAUGGACCGUGUAAGAAAAGUAAAACUCAGCUCUCGGCCAGCCUCUGUUGAGGCACUGAUUCAGAUUUUAAAAGAACAAUUGGAAUUGGACGCUGACUUCAGUUUGCAGUACGAAGAUCCAGACUUCGAUGGAAAACUUACUUCCUUGGUUGAAAUUGAGGAGCUGCCACAAAAAGCCGUUGUUCAUAUUUCACUUACACAAGAUUCCAGUUCUGUUGCGUCCACUGAAACACUGUCAGAUGUAUCAUCCCCGGAACGUCUAAGCAGAUGGCCUCCAGGUUCUUUUCAAAUUCCCACAUUUGGAUUUGACGUUGAGCUGACACUUAGACAAGGGAAUACUGAAUUUGAGAAGACUGGAAGACCUCUUAAGUUGUCAAGAGACCAAAAGCACGAUAUUUUAGAAAAACUUGCAUCUGUUAUAUUUGGGUUCAAGGCUUACCCAAGCGACAAAGAGAUAGCAAUGGUAGCGGAGGCUCUUGUGGCUAAACAUCCCUGUUUAAAAGAAGCAGGAUCUACCACUGGAUGGAAUGGGUGGAAGAACAGCAUCAAGUUCAAAAUGGGCAAUUACAGGACCAAGAUGAGAAGGGCUGGAUGCCAAGAGGUCACUGUAAAUGCUGGAAAAAGAAGCCAAAGAAACCCAGAGAAUGAACCUUCCCACUCCAACAUCAAACGACCAAAGCGUGCAGAAGUAAACUUUCUGCCCAACUUUCCCCAAGGGGAGGAUCCCUCAAGUCUUGAACAUCUGAGGCAGGUAAUUGUUGAAGAAGUAAAGAAGACCGAGAGAAACCUACCUCUCAUUAGUAAGAUGAUGCAGACCACGUUUGCCUUGCGGAGAAAGACCAUAGUGAUGUCCUGCCCACCAGUCAAACAGCUCAUGGAGCUCUGGCCUGCUCUUCAGAUGCAGUCUGAGGUAUAUGCAGAGUUCCAGCGCAUAACAAACCAGAACCUGCCUAAUACAUUCUACGGAGAGCUUGAUCGGCACACUCCACGUUUGAUGACCUUAUUCAGGCAGAAGGCAUCCAAAACUGGAAGGACUUCAGAUGCUUUGGCUGCCAUUUUCAAAGUGCAUGAUGAACAGGAAUCACAUGAUGUGUACACAAGGCGUACCACUAUCCUACAUGCCCUUCCUGUAUAUCUGCGGGAGGAAAUCUCUGGAUUUUACAGAACAUGCGUGGUAAGUCCCAAUAAAAUAAUAUCAAGCCCUGUCUGUAUUAUUAAGACAUUAAUAUUUUGAUUUUGUUUAAUGACAACACCUGCAUCAACAUUUUGUGAAAUCUUCGAGAGAUGUUUUUAAACCUGUAAAGUCUGUGCUGAUUUUGCAGACAAAAUCAUAUAAGUCAAUAGCCCUGUAAUGCCACACUUCCAAGUCAUCUCACCUUCUCUGUGACAAAGCAGUAAAAUGAAGAGAGGUCCAUCGGACUUGUAUACACAGUAUUUUUUUAUGACAUUUAACUGUAAUCUAAAUAAUUUGCUUCCCACACCCUUAGUACCCAUUGUGUUUCAGUAGACAUGAUUAAUUUAUGCGUAUAAUCUCUCUUCAUUCUUUUAGGAUGAUUUAGAGGAGCCAGAUGUCACAGAUGCAACGGUGGCCCUCCUUACAACCAUCAGCGAAAAUACCAUGAGUCCAGUCCACUACCACCCGGUAAAAACCUCUGUUGUCCUCGAAGGUGAUGUGGUGGUCAGCCUCCCCAGACUUGAUGAUGGAUUCCUCGUAAUGUUCGGCCUAAUCUAUGCGCUACAUCUGAACUAUCCCCAAGGACUGACCAACACUUUUGAGUUCAUUCAGAAAGUCGUACUUGGUCUGGAUGAGGGUAAAUUGUCACCCAGGCUGCAGACACUCAAGAAUGACUUGAUGAUAUGAUGAUGACAUCAUCUACAACAGUGUCCAUGUUGACGACUGUUUAACUGUGUUGAAGUUACUCCACAGGCCUAUUUGUUCAUGCAGUUUCACAUUUUAAAGGAAAACACAGUUCAUAGUGUUGAACUUUGUUUAGAUUUUCGUAAUUUAGUUGCUGGGACCUUAUUUCCCUCUGAGGACUUCUUGUUUAUUCUAUGGUAUGCUUCUUGUUUUAUUAUAUGGUGAAAAAAUGUUUAAAUUCAUUUUCCAAAGCUACAUACCUUGAAGUUCAAAGUUUAAAGCAAAUGUAAACCUUUGUACAUGUUAAUGUGGAUUUUUUUUUUAAAUAUAUAUAAUGUUGCCCUACAGUAUUACAACCACAUAGUCCAGCUUUUGUUUUGCUUUUUGUCUUUCAAAUAUAUAUUACUAUGUUUCAGUAUGUGCUAAAAAGGAAGAGUCAUUGACCAUGUUUGGGGUUUUUUUUUUGCCAUUGUUUUUUUUUGUUUGUUUGUUUGUUUUUUAGUUAGUAGGACUCAAUGCAAUUGUAAUAUUUUAAGUUUUGGGGUUUUAUGAAAUCAAAUUUUUUUGAGGUCUGGUUAGUUAAAAGAUUUAAAAAAAGACUAAUAAAUAUUGAGUUCAUAAAACAUAUUUGUAUGUGUUUUUGUACUUAAACUUAUUCUGUUCUGUUAAUUAAUAUCUUUGAAAAAUAAAAACAUACAUUUUGAGUUUA